AUUGAACGCUGGCGGCAGGCCUAACACAUGCAAGUCGAGCGGAUGAAGGGAGCUUGCUCCUGGAUUCAGCGGCGGACGGGUGAGUAAUGCCUAGGAAUCUGCCUGGUAGUGGGGGAUAACGUCCGUAAACGGGCGCUAAUACCGCAUACGUCCUGAGGGAGAAAGUGGGGGAUCUUCGGACCUCACGCUAUCAGAUGAGCCUAGGUCGGAUUAGCUAGUUGGUGGGGUAAAGGCCUACCAAGGCGACGAUCCGUAACUGGUCUGAGAGGAUGAUCAGUCACACUGGAACUGAGACACGGUCCAGACUCCUACGGGAGGCAGCAGUGGGGAAUAUUGGACGAUGGGCGAAAGACUGAUCCAGCCAGGCCGCGUGUGUGAAGAAGGUCUUCGGAUUGUAAAGCACUUUAAGUGGGGAGGAAGGGCAGUAAGUUAAUACCUUGCUGUUGUGACGUUACCAACAGAAUAAGCACCGGCUAACUUCGUG
rnacentral:rRNA from 1 species